rnacentral:rRNA from 1 species
AAGGUGGUAGUCGCACGAGCGCACCCUUGUCAUUAGUUGCUACGAAAGGGCACUCUAAUGAGACUGCCGGUGACAAACCGGAGGAAGGUGGGGAUGACGUCAAGUCCUCAUGGCCCUUAUGGGUAGGGCUUCACACGUCAUACAAUGGUACAUACAGAGGGCCGCCAACCCGCGAGGGGGAGCUAAUCCCAGAAAGUGUAUCGUAGUCCGGAUUGUAGUCUGCAACUCGACUGCAUGAAGUUGGAAUCGCUAGUAAUCGCGGAUCAGCAUGUCGCGGUGAAUACGUUCCCGGGUCUUGUACACACCGCCCGUCACACCAUGGGAGCGGGUUUUACCAGAAGUAGGUAGCUUAACCGCAAGGAGGGCGCUUACCACGGUAGGAUUCGUGACUGGGGUGAAGUCGUAACAAGGUAGCCGUAUCGGAAGGUGCGGCUGGAUCACCUCCUU